GCAGGCAGGGGGCGGGCCCAGCCCGCGUCACCCGGUAGCAACCAAGCAGUGUGAGUGUGCUGGCUGCGCGGGCGGCGCGGAGCCGAGCGAGCCGAGCCGCGCCGCACUCACUCGCACUCACACCGGCGCGCACGCCAGCCUGGGACCCCGCGCGCGCACAGCCAUGGGCAGGCAAGGCCACCCGGGAGCCCUUCGUUCACGCAGGCUCGGAAGACAAGCGGGGCGUGAGCAGCGACCCGCAGGACACACACUCCUUGCCACGUUCCAGCCCGUGCCAGCCCGUGCUGGGUUCUGUUCACUCUCACAGGACACAUGCAGGUGUGCAAGGACACUCCAAGCACACACGAACGUGUGUAGAUACUUGAUGAAAGUAUCCACUGGCUUAUACCCGCAGGACACACACACAAACAUAUGUAUUCAUACAGAGUUUGUUGAGGCUGUUGUGGCAUGGUAAACCCCCUGAAUGACACGCAAACACAGGCAUAGAGGUGGUCAGGGGACUCAGGCAAUCUUCCAUGCCCCCAACCAUGCCUAAUGGGGCACACAAACACACCAUAGUAGUGAUCAGGGGAUUCUGCACAGACACCCACACCCACACACAUCUAGUGGAACGCACAGCCACACUCCUAGGAGUGCAGGCAUAGGCUGCUCACACACUAGCAGAAUGAGUACAUCAGCUGUCCAAGGUCAUUGCUGAUACAGUCUGUUCACACUUUCUCUCAGGUCACAUACAAACACACACUCUGUAAUCUCAAUCUAGUACCUUGCUUGUCCAAUGAGUAGUUUGAAGGGACCCAUGGGGACAGGGUGAAUGAGAACCUUGAUCACAAGCUGUAGUCAGAAGGCAGGUGAGGGCAGGCAGGGCCUGGGCAGAGGAGACCUUCCCAGAGAGUGAUAGAUGAGAGGCAAGGUGUGGUCUGCCCACUGGCUCUGGCCUCCCACAUGUUCAGAUAACUAAACAAAUCCCAGACAGCCCAGUCCUGGCUGCUGUCCUGCUUUCCGGAACAGAGCUCUGUUGGAAAUGGCUGCUGCUCAUACACGUGUGUCCCCACAAAGCCCUGGGAACGGACUGAAUCCUGUUUACUUUCUGGUUUCUACUGACAUCAGAAAUGCUUAUCUUCUUGGCUGGGUCCCUUCCAUGAGUCUGAAUGAGGGGUCCCAAGCCUGUGCCCCUCCCUCUACCAUAACCUCUGUGGAGGAGUGGGGAGCAGAGAGAAGAGAGAGAAGGCCUUGCCCUCAUCACUUCCAGCUGCAUCGUUCUGAUAAAUCAUUUGAUCUCUUUGAAGCUCUGUUUCUUCAUCUGUGAAAUGGGGCUGAUUCAAACCUCACAGCCUUAUGGUGAAGCCCCAUCUAUCACUGAGCAUGACAAAUAAGAGGUGUUCAAUAGGGUUGGCGUUCUCUUCUCCCUUUCCUUGGGAGAUGAGACUCACUGUUGGGAAAUGAUGGAGAUGCCUAGACCCCAUCAGUCAUGUUGUACAGGGUGAUAAUGGUCACUACCCACUAUUGAAAACUACAAUAUACUGUGUCAAGCAUGUUUAAAGUUGUCAUCUCAUUUAUUCCUAUACUAUCCCAUGAUGUAGGCAGAGUUUACUGUUUCCAUUUUGUAGUGAGGAAAUUAAAGCUCAAUGGCUUGGCCAGGGUGACUGCUGGCUGGUGGCAGAGCUGGCAUUAGAACUCAGGUGUCUUGAAUUUUCGAGGCUUCCACGUCCCCUUCCCCUUCUUCCCCCCCGCUACUGAGCUCCAGGGGUCAGAGCAGGGGUUUUACGCAGGUGAAACCUUGUUCCCUAAACCUUUUCCUGAGGCUUCUUGGAAUGGGGAGCCCAAAUUGAGGAGGAAGAAGAGGAGAAGAGAGAGAGGGUCAAGAGCCCUCAGGAGUUACAGUGGGAAUGAACCAGCCUGGGGGCUCCCUAAGGACGAUCUCGGAUCCUGAUGGGAGGAAAAAAAUCAGCCUUCCAAGACUCAAGGGCCAAGGGAAGGACAGGAGAGCCUAGAAGCCUAACACAGUGGGUGUCUCAUUUCCAGGAAUGCUUGAGGGGAUUAGUCCUUUAAUAGGCACAGAAUGACUUCUUUUGUGCCAGAGGUGGCUGCAUCACUAAAUAGUUAUGUAAUGACACAGAGUAUUAAAAUACAGAUGCUGAACUAUCAUUUCAUAAUUCUUUCACUUGAGGAGCAAGAGAGUGUUGUCAUUGUCUUACGGAUAGGGAAACUGAAGCUUCAGGAGGUCAAGUAACUGGGAAUGAGAGCCUGGAUAUCCUGACCCCUGACCCUGUGACCUUUGACAUCAAAGCUACAUCUCACUGGGGGUAGGGACAGAAGGGGGCUCACAGCUCCCUCCUGGCCUCUUGACUUUCUGUGGGUCUGGCUUUUUGGAGGAUCAGCUCGUGGCUCUUGGCUCUGCAGUCUCUGGCUCUGGGGAGGGUAUAGAAGAAGUGGGGUAGAGGGCUGAGACUCUAAGGCACAGAGCCAGGAGACCCUAUGAUGCCCGCUGGAGAAACAUGGGGGCGUAUGUGGGGCCAACCUCUGGCAGGUGGUGGAGUCAAGAGCCACUCUGAGGUCUGAAUUCUUCCACCUAUGAGUCUAGCAGAGAUGGGGUAGGGACCCUGGAGGGGUAGAAUUAGCGUUAUCUGGGCAAGUGUGCAGUUUCUAGAAAGAGUAUGGGUUGUGGAGACAGAUAGACUUGGAUUAAAAAACCAGGGUCUCCCUCCUCCUAACUCUCUGACUUGGGCAAGUCACUUAACUUAGGUCCUCAGUCUCACCUGUGGAAUGGGGGAGGCCACGAACAAUCUCGUGAGAACCGAAGAGGGAGAUGGCUAGAAAGUGCAUAGUGCAAUGCCUGGCAUGCAACAGGCACUCGGUGAAUUGUAAUUCUCUUGUCCUGCCUUUCCAGUGCAAACCAUCAUCAUAUGCCCUAUGCCUGCUUUAGUUUCUCUACCAGAGAAGUGCCGUUAGCUGUUCUCUCCCUGUCUGCUGCAUGGACCAGGCUUUUGAUCUCCCACCUACUGAAGCCUCUGUCCAAUGAGGUACAAGUGGGUUCUGGAAGAAUGGUCCUGGCAUCUGCGCCACUGGGACACCUAUUAAUGCAGAUCCCAGACCCCUACCCCACACCCACUGACUCAGAUAUGUGUGUGAAGAGUUUGGAUGCAUCUUGUCAAGCACCCCUAGAUUAUUUUCAUGCACAAUUAUUUUUAUGAGAUUGUUAGGUUAGAAGGUGCUAAUGGUUUAAUACAGUGAUUCUCACCUGUUUUGCUGCCUCCACACUGUUCAAUGUGCAACACCUGGGAAUGCGUGUGUCAGAAUCUCUAGAGCGCUUUGGCAGAUUCCCAAUGGGGAGUCUGAUACAUCCUGCUUUGCAUAUUAUGACCUGUUUCCUGGCUGAGAACCACCACUUAAGCCUUUCCUUCUGGUAGGCGACAGGCAUUUUAGAGGAAAUGACCUUUACCCUGUACUUGGCUGGAUGUUCUUGGUUGGCACCCCUGGCUGGUGUCGGCAUGCUCUGGAAGGAAGGGCCCUCCCUGGCCCUGGCCUAAUGUUUGCCACCAGUUUCCACCCUCUGCUGAUUACUAGAGGAGCUCUUGGCAUGCUGUGCUGAUAGGACCUUCUCUAUAUUAAUAGCAAUAUUUAACCCAAAGGCAGGGCUGAUGGAAAAAUUCCAACCACUUGCUGGUUGAUGGAGAAAGGGUCCCUGUCUAUUCACUUAUUUAUGAAUUCAUAUUUUAACAAAUAUUUAUUGAGCAUCUACCCUAUGACAGGCCCCGUGCUGCAUUCUGCAGAGGGCAUGGUGAUUAAUGAGGCCCCAUUUUCCUUUAGAUUUCAGAUUACAAAGGGCAAAUCAGGAAGGGACAUGGGAGCCGCCUACUUUGUUGAUUGCCACCGCUUCCUUGGCCUAGACCAUGGCCUUGGCAUGGGAAGCAUGGUAGAGUGCUGACAUAUGCAAUUCAGUAUGAAAGUUUGCAGUAUAGCCUGUGGCGGCUGAGAGGCAAACUUGAUGUAUUAAGUGAUAUUAAAAAUGCAGCUCUUUCUGAUAAUUUAUUAUGCACAUUUUCAUAAACACAUUACACUCGUCACAGUACAUUUACUAGCACUAGUCCUACCAGUGGGGAAAAGUUAACACUUAUCUAAUGAUGCUAUUUUGUAAAUGGCAAAUGCUCUUAGAGCAGCUGCGAUGGUCUAAAUAGCUCUAAGAGGUGUUUGUCUUCUUUACCCCUGGGACAACUGUCCAGUGGUUUGCAGACCACAGGUCUGUGGGCCCCUCACCUCACCCACACCUCUCAUUUUCCACGUGAGGAAACUGAGGUCUAUAGCGAUGGAGGACCUGGCUCAAGGUCACAUGAGACAGACCUGGAACUCACACUAAGGGACUGAGUGGAAAGACUAGAGCUCUCUCUCCUGCUACACAGGCCAUGGUCUGGGCUGCUGGAUUGGAAAGAGGCCAAGGUAAGAGGCUUACCUGCCAGGAGGGGCUUAGCUCAGGUUCAGGCUGCCUCUGGCUGGAAAUCAGAUGCCAGGGAGGGAUAAUGCUGUAUCCUUAGGGGAAGCUCUAGAAAUAACCUGAUGGAGGACAAGGAGUAUAGCCUGAGGCUUAGGUGACAACACGGAUGAGGCAGUGCCCUCUAUUUCCCGCCCCGUAAGAGGCCUGGGGACCACUGGAGCCCAGGGUCUUGUUUGAAUGUCUUUUGAACUAGAGUGAACAUCUCAGUGUAAUGAAUGGGUUAGAAUGGACAGGAGCUCUAACUGGCAAUUUUGAAACUCAGGGCCAAUAGCUACAAAUAUUCCCUCAAACAGCUUUUAAUUAAUUACUGAUGCAAUUCAGAAGGUAUUAACAAGGCAAAUGAUGGCUUCUCAUUUUAACUCAUUUUGCUUUUUAAAUUUAUAAAUAUUUCAGUCAUACAACAAAAGCCAAGGGUAAACGUAAAGACUGCCUGUACCAUCAACCAGCUUAAAAAGAAAACAUUAUAGGUUCCUCAAAAAGCUAAACAUGGAAUUACCAUGUGACCCAGCAUCUCCCAAGAAUAUACCUAAAAGAAUUGAAAGCAGGAAUUCAGAUACUUGUACACCCAUGUUCAUUGUAGCAUUUUUCACAACAACCCAAAGGGCAACAACCCAAGUGUCCAUCAGCAGAUGAAUACAGAAACAAAUGUGGUAGAGUUAUACAAUGGAAUAUUAUUCAGCCCUAAAAAGGAAUGACGUUCUGAUCUAUGCUACAAUCUAGAUGAACCUUGAAGGCAUGUUAAGUGAAAUAAGACAGACACAAAAGCACAAAUGUUGCAUGAUUUCACUUAUAUGAAAUGUCUAGAAUAGGCAAAUUUAUAGAGACAGAAAGUAUAUUCUCUACUUACCAGGGGCUGGGGGGAGGAGAGAAUGGGGAGUUAUUGCUUGGUGGGUACAGAGUUUCUGUUAGGGUGAUGAAAAAAGAUUUUGAAAAUAAAUAAUGAUGAUAGUUGCACAAUAUUGUAAACAUAAUUAAUGCCACUGAAUUGUACACUUAAAAUGAUUAAAAUGCAAAUUUUGUAUUUUAUGUUUCACCGCAAUUUUAAAAAUCAUAAAUGCAUUUGAAAUCUCCUUAUAUUCUUCCUCUAUUCAUUGCUCUCCCCAGAGGCAAUCACUAUUACAAAUUUAGUAAUUAUCACUCUAUGCAUUCAUUUUUACAUUUACAACAUAUGUAUGCAUCUACAAAUGAUUGAUAUAUGGUAUGGUUUGGUAUGUUUUAAAACUUCAUAUAAAUGGUAGCAUACUGUACAUAUCCUCAUUUUACUGAUUUUUUUUCCACUUACCACUGUUUGUGAGAUGCAUUCUAUUGGAGCAUGUAGUUAUAGUUUAUUUGUUUUCAUUGCUGUAUAAUACUCCACUCUGAAAAUACCACAGUUUGUUUUUCCUUUCUAUUUUUGCACAUUUACAUUGAUUUCUACAUGUUGCUAUUAUAAACCUGUUGCAAUGGGUUUUCCUAGCCCACGUGUGGGAGAGUUUCAUUACAACUUCUUGGACAGGGAAUUGCUGGGUCGAAGGACAUGUGUAUUUAUAGCUUGACCAGAGAGUGUCAAACUGCUCUCAAAAGUGGUUAUGACCAUUUCUAUUUCUACCAGCCGUGUAUGAAGUUCCAGUUCCUUCAUAUUCUCAUCAACGCUUGGUAUCACCAGACUUGAAUUUUUGCUGAUCUGAUAGGUGUGAAAGGGUAUCUCAUUGCGUUUAAUUUGUUCUUCUUGCUGACUAGAUGCUGUUGCAUUUUUUCAACUAAGGGCAGGUAUACACAGUCAAGAGAUAAAUGUAGCAAAUUGAAAAUUGAGGAGUUUCUAUCUAUAAGGGAUAGGUUAAAUACAGUAUGAUUCGCCUGUACAGUGGAAUAUUAUGUAGCCAUUAAAAAGACAAGGCAGCUCUGUGUGCAUUGGUAUGGAAGAUAUAUCUAUAUUCUGAUGCACUAAAAAUCUUUUCAUCUGAGACAUACUGUUAAAUAAAAAAGCAAGAAUCAUAAGACAGUAUGAUUCUUGUAUAUAAAGAAAAGGAUGUAUACACCCAUGUAUUUUUUUUAUAUGCAUAAGACACCAUUGAAAGAAUAGACAGGAAUCUGAUAAAAAUAGUUCACCUGCGAAGAGAACUAAGGGACAGGGAAACUUUUCUGCUCUGUGCAUUUUUACCACAAACAUGAAUUACACAUAAAAAAAAAAAAAAAA